UCUCACGUCUUCAAUCCCGCCUCAAAGUCGACAAGCCCUAAUCUGUCUCCCAUCUAUUUCUCUCAAAUCGUCGACGAUAAUCUUCAUUUUGCCGUUGCCGAUCAUCGGACAUCCACACUCCAGUGCUAGAGUGAGUAUAUACUGCAUAUUUCCUUAUUCUGGCUCCACCAAUUCUCCCUUUCAUAAAGAUCAUUGUAAUUUGUAAAUAAUCUUAUCACUCCCAAUUCUAACUAGGCCCAAAAAUCAUCAAUCGUCGUCUAGCAAUACCCUUUAUUGCUAUUAAUUGUUUUUUGAAAGGCUGGUUUUUUUUCCUCUUCAUAAAAGCUUUAGUGGGUGAAUUGUUUUUGUUGGGUUCUGUGUAGAUGAAAGAGGGACCUCAGAAGAGCUGGAAAGAAGACUUGGCUUCCAAUUUAGAGAGAGAAAGAUAGCUGUAAAGUGAAGGCAAAUAUGAGAUCAUUGACAUGUACAGAUACACAAUUUAUAGCUGUCUGUGAAAAAAAUAUUUAUGGAGACAAUUUAUACUAUAUCAAAUAAUAUAAAUUUUUAUCCCAGGUUCUGCGAUUCGUUCGUUUGAAAAAUUAGUUCACUAUGGAGAAAUUACACUGAAAAUGAUAUAUACAGGGGAAAUAAUAUACGACAAUUUCAACAACUAUAAUAUAACAUACCAGAUGAGUAUUGAAUUUUCCAGGCCUUUUCCUAACAGAGAAAUGUAGACUUUUGUUUGGAGGAGAUCAGGCGUGCCUUUUCAAGGGUGCAUUUUAGACGGUGAUGCCAGCAGUUCUUGUCUCUCAUUGUGCAGUAAUUCCACGGUUUACAAAUGCUUUACACAUGGUAUUUAUCUAUAUAGUUUUUUAUGGAAUUUAUAUCUGAUUAUGGAAUGCAUUUAAUGGAAAAACGUGUGAAAGGGUCAUUCAAUUUUUCUUCAGUUACAGAUUAGAAUUUGAAUGCUAAUUAUAGAAACCAAUAUUUUUAGUCAUAUUUAUCAGUCAGCGUAGUAUUUUUGAAAAAGCUUCUCACUACAUGGUAAGAUGUGAAUAAGUUUUAUAUUCUGAUGCAUAUAUGAGAAUUUCCUAUUAAUUAAAUAUUGAACCUGGUUAAGUUUAAGUGACGAGCCAAGCCCACUUGAACUUCUAUUAAUAAGUUGUUAGGGUUUGGAAACAAUACAGACAUUCAUUAUCUUACUAGCACAAGAAGAAAUAAACCAAUUCUCUCAUUCUUGUUUCCUAUUUGAAUUUUCAAAGUUGAACAAUUAGACAACUAUGGAUUACAGAUCGUGAUUGUUCUCCGCAGAAUUAACUAAAUGUAUAAUUCUUAUUGCCAUUUCUAUCUAAACAUAAAGUAAAUCUUUGGUGAAAAUUGAAAUUAUUAUAAAUUUCAUUGUGCAUGAUUAAGUAAAUUUCCAGUAGUUGUAUUAGAGCCUACUUUAUGCUUGUAGAAACUGUUUUGCAUGUUACAACAAUCAAAAGUUGAUUGUUAUUAAUUUUCUUGAUUCUAGCAAUUUGAAAAAUUAUUUUUCAUCUUUAAAAAUCUGUUUUAAAAAAAAUUAAUUUAUUGGUCGAAAAUUAGAUUUGAGCAUCAUGGACAGCGAAGAAAGUCACCGUCACCACGGUGGCAGUGUAUGCAGCUACGUGUUGCACGAUGGUACUUUGCCUAUGAUCUCCAACGGCGAGUCCCACUACUCGUAUAAACAACACCAGGAGCUGCUGUUUUUGUGGCAAUGACAGUGCCGGCACUGCUUGUUGCUGCAAGGUAAACUUGUGACAACAUAAAGUAGUGUGUAGAAGUGUUAGAAGCUUAGUGUGUUUUGUUCAUGUUUUAAAUACCAUUUAGAUUUGAUAUAUUGUUUGAUUUUUAGAGUUUUACAAUGUUUUGAUGUAUGUUUUAGUGUUGUUUUACAGUAGGUGAAGUGGUGUAAAUGAUGCAAAAAUUAGAGAACAUAGUGAUUUUAGCAUAAAUCAAGAAGAAGAUAACUUGCAAAUAGGCAACAAACACAAGGAGUGAGCGGAAAUAGCAUGAAAACAUAGUUAUAUUACGACAAAUGGGGCAUCCAAGUGUCACAAUCCGAUGCCUUGGCGUCACACAUAGCAAGGUAAGAAAAAUAAUUUAGCAGACUGGCAACCAAGAGCUAAACAAGAAGUUGGCGCCUGGGCGCUAGUCACAUCAUUCAUCUUGGUGCUUAGGCGCCCAAUCAAGGCGCAUAGGUUCCAGUUGCCAUUCAGAUAAGGUUUUGUAUUUUUUUUAUCCGUUUAGAAGUCCAAUUUAACGCCAACUCGUCUAGGGCUUCAACGAGGCAUAGAUACAACCUUGAGGGCAUUUUGAACUAUAGUUAGAUGAGACAAAAGCAAGAGAUCGAGAGGAACAACGAGAAGAAAAUUGAUUCAAGCUCCAAAACAAUUUUUAUUUCUUUCUUCUUUACGUUCUUGAUUGAACUAAGUUAUUCAUCCAAGGUUUGAUGUAAUUGAUGUUUUAAGAUUACUUUUUGAGAUUCAAUAAUUAUUUCUUUGAG
rnacentral:lncRNA from 1 species